GGUAGUCUCUGAGACUGGUGGCUUGCGCUGUGGCUUCUCACCCACCUGACACACCUUUGAUCUUCCCAUAGCGAGGACACAGAAAAUGUGAAAGUUACAGAAAAAUUGAAAGAAGAGGAAGAGGAGAAGAAUCCAUAGAAGUCACUAUUGUCAUCAUAAUCACUGCCUGCAGACAUGAAUACUGUCAACAUUUGGGCAUAUUGCCCCAGAGGUUUUAUUUAUACAUUAUUUUUACUUGAUUGUAGUCACAUAUAACAAAACGUUAGAAUUUAACCGCUCUUUGAUAUCUAACCAUGAAAAUGAAGCAUAAAUUACCUUUUUGUAAUGUAGAACGUUCAUAAUUAAUUAAUUACGCCACUUUGAAGUGCUUUUAAUAGUACUCAACUGGAAAAGUUACAAUAAAAUGUUAUUAAUAUUUAGUAGUCACAUUAAA